UAACUACUCCCUCCGUCACGAAAUGCUUGUCAUGAAAAUGGAUAAAAGGAGAUAUAUCUAGACGUAUUUUAGUUUUAGAUACAUCCUUUUUAUCCAUUUUAAUGACAAGUAUUUUUGAACGGAGGGAGUAUUUU
rfam:Triticum aestivum genome assembly, contig: Triticum_aestivum_CS42_TGACv1_scaffold_063435_1DL